rnacentral:rRNA from 1 species
GAUGAACGCUGGCGGCGUGCCUAAUACAUGCAAGUCGAGCGAACAGACGAGGAGCUUGCUCCUCUGACGUUAGCGGCGGACGGGUGAGUAACACGUGUAUAACCUACCUAUAAUACUGGGAUAACUUCGGGAAACCUGAGCUAAUACCGGAUAACAUCUUGAACCUCAUGGUUCAACAGUGAAAGACGUUCUUGCUGUCACUUAUUGAUUGAUCCGCGCCGCAUUAGCUAGUUGGUAAGGUAACGGCUUACCAAGGCAACGAUGCGUAGCCGACCUGAGAGGGUGAUCGGCAACACUGGAACUGAGACACGGUCCAGACUCCUACGGGAGGCAGCAGUAGGGAAUCUUACGCAAAGGGCGAAAACCUGACGGAGCAACGCCGCGUGAGUGAAGAAGGUCUUCGGAUCGUAAAACUCUGUUAUUAGGGAAGAACAAAUGUGUAAGUAACUAUGCACGUCUUGACGGUACCUAAUCAGAAAGCCACGGCUAACUACGUG